rnacentral:lncRNA from 1 species
UGGUGGACAAUUUCCAGUCUGGUGUCUGCAUUUGGAGAGAUUCUACAGCACAUGCAUGAAUGGGACACUCUUAGAAACAGAAGCACAUAUUUGUUUGCAACCAUAGCUUGAGUUAUGUAAAGAAAACUGGUCUGAGAAAAUGAAGUAAAAACACAAGGAAAUCAGAGAAGAGAUAUGGAAAGAGAUGAGACCAGAAGAGAUUGUGAUCAAUUUUGUAAUUCUAAUC